AGCGAACGUUUGCGGCGGGCUUAACACAUGCAAGUCGAACGAGAAUCCCUUCGGGGAGGAAAGUGGCGCACGGGUGCGUAACACGUGGAUAACCAACCCAUUGGUUUGGGACAACACCGGGAAACUGGUGCUAAUACCAGAUGUGUCGCAGCUGUCUUCAGGCGGUUGCGAGAAAGGCCCGCAAGGGUCGCCAACGGACGGGUCCGCGUCCCAUCAGCUAGUUGGUGAGGUAAUGGCUCACCAAGGCAAAGACGGGUAGCUGGUCUGAGAGGAUGAUCAGCCACACUGGAACUGAGACACGGUCCAGACUCCUACGGGAGGCAGCAGUGGGGAAUAUUGCGCAAUGGGCGAAAGCCUGACGCAGCCACGCCGCGUGAGCGAUGAAGGUCUUCGGAUCGUAAAGCUCUGUGGGGGGAGAAGAAGAAAGCCGGUGAAGAGCCGGCCCUGACGGUAUCCCCUUAGCAAGCACCGGCUAACCCCGUGCCAGCAGCCGCGGU
rnacentral:rRNA from 1 species